UGAAGCUCUCAUAUCUAUUGAAGGGCAACUAUUCAAGAUCAAUAGUUACACAGAUGGGUAUGCCUUCGCCUCUUAAUACAGACUUGCCAUGAAUGAGAAGAAGACAAGAAGCGUGAGAGGUCAAGGAGUUGUUGAUUCAAGCUUUUCUCUGGCUGCACCACCAAUUGCUCUGUUAUUCUGGGUUUCAAU